GACGAACGCUGGCGGCGUGCUUAACACAUGCAAGUCGAACGGAAAGGCCCUGCUUGCAGGGUACUCGAGUGGCGAACGGGUGAGUAACACGUGGGUGAUCUGCCCUGCACUUCGGGAUAAGCCUGGGAAACUGGGUCUAAUACCGGAUAGGAGCCAUUUUUAGUGUGAUGGUUGGAAAGUUUUUUCGGUGUAGGAUGAGCUCGCGGCCUAUCAGCUUGUUGGUGGGGUAAUGGCCUACCAAGGCGGCGACGGGUAGCCGGCCUGAGAGGGUGGACGGCCACAUUGGGACUGAGAUACGGCCCAGACUCCUACGGGAGGCAGCAGUGGGGAAUAUUGCACAAUGGGCGCAAGCCUGAUGCAGCGACGCCGCGGGGGGGAUGACGGCCUUCGGGUUGUAAACUCCUUUCGCUAGGGUCGAAGCUUUUUGUGACGGUACCUAGAUAAGAAGCACCGGCUAACUACGUG
rnacentral:rRNA from 1 species